CACAAAUAUUGCGAAGAAAAAUGGCCUUGUGCAAAAGAGGGAUUUCAAAGGUGUCCUUAGGUUGACUAGGGCUCUCAGGACUGGACGAAGAACAGCUGAUCUUGGCUCUGGGCUACAGGUUGGCUGCAGGUCCACUCUAUAUGGCUCUCCAUUCUCCUUGAAACGGGAGAUACCUAAGGAAUAUUCUUCUCUUGGUGACUGGCAGGAGUGCAAGAGAACCAAACUGAACCAUUCAAGUAGGUGGAAAGCUUUUGUUCUCAUUCAGUCCACUAACAGACCAUUGACCAAAACAAGUCCCAUAGCCAAUGCCAACAUAAUUUUGGAAUGAAGUAUCCUCUGCCAUAAUGGGACUGGAGGAUCACAGUGCCUAGUUAUACAAUAGAGGGUAUGGAUAUAUAAUUCUGAUAUAUAAUCCCUACUGAGGUAGAUAAAUUCUCCUGAUUUUUUGUGAGUUCUUUUUUUAUACCCUUGAAUUCUCUUACCACUGUUAGUUGUUGAAACUUGUAGGUUUCCAAAGGCAGGUAAUUUUAUAGUUUGUAUGUAAUGAAAGUUUAACAUCUGCCCUGUCCUGCUUUUACCUAUUCUUUCUCUCUUUUCCUAUCCUGUUAUCCAGGAUCCACUCUGUUGAACAACAGCAGUGAUAGUAGGCAACCAUGUCAUUCCACAUCUUAGAGGGAAGAGAUAUGUUUUCCUAUUAAAUAUAACAUUUACUGUAGGUUUUUUGUAUGUAAUCUUAUCAAGUUAAGGAAGUCCUUAACUAAGCCCUUAACUACAGAAGCCCUCCAUUCUUAGUUUUCUGAGUUUUAAUCAUAGUUCUUGAAUUUUAGAAAUAUUUUCUAUCCAUUGACAUGAUUUUUCUUACAUGGUUGUUAAUAUAGUGAGUUACAUUGGUAGUAAUUCUGAUGAUCUUCAAUUCCUGUUUGAAAUGUAUUAAUUUUUAAAUACCCUGAAAGAUCCAGUUAACAUUUUAAGGAUUGUUUCAUGUAUUUUUAAAUUAAGUAUAAUUGAUACACAAUGUUACAUCAGCUUCAGGUGUACAACUUAAU
rnacentral:lncRNA from 12 species